rfam:Streptomyces sp. Ncost-T6T-2b genome assembly, contig: Ga0115255_10511
CUUGAGGGACCCCAGCCGCAGCGCCUCGGCGUCUUCCCGGCCCUGUCCGUAGGUCGCGAGCAGCGCGUGCGCCUC